rnacentral:lncRNA from 15 species
UUGCAGUUGGAGGGAUGUUGUGUUUACACCUGUUGGGAGAAGACAAUAAAGACACAAAAACAGAUUUUUUUUUUUCCACAUGAACUGAGGUGUUUUUACUGCAUUUCAGUAACAGAAACAGCCUUAUUACACAUUGCACUCACACGAAGAAGACGACACAUCCUCAAUGUCAGUGAACAAAGUGAUUCAAAGUGGCCUUUAGGGGAGGGAGUCUGCGAAUCGGACGCAAGCUCUCUCCGCUCAAAAGAUGCACUCCAGAAUGCAGGCAUUAAAAGCACCCAGUUGAUGCCUUGGCGGGUCAAUACAACACACACAAUGGGUGUAGAUGUGAUCGACAAAACUGUGGGGGGGAGGAGAGGACUUUUCAUUCACUGGAGGACAUGCAGUCACGCCCCUACAAAAACCCUCUGGAGUUUGGACUCUAGGUUAAAAGUUUACUGGCAUUAGAGAAUGUGCGCAAAAAACUAGCCAUUGUCGAUGCAACUGGACUUUUGUUUGUUUUUUUUUUUAGAUAAAAAGUACAACGGUUGGUGGCCCCCUUUUCCUCCGCUCUUGCUCCGGUGAUGCUCCAGUGAUGCUAUGCCAGUGUGGGGUCAUGUUAAACGGGAAAGUUAGACCCUUCAGGAAGUAAAGGUUAGUCCAACCUUCCCUCUUGGGUGGUCAACACUUCUACUGAUUACGGCUAACACCAGUUUUGUCCUUUUUGUCCACAUGAAAAAACUUUUCUGUGUUAUUAUUCGGAAUAUGAUACUCUUGCAAGUCAUACACAUCCAUAUAGAUAGAUGAACUCUUUUUUUUCUUAUGUCAGCAUACAAGGUAAGCUGGGUGACUAUAUAUGAAGACAACAACUACAACUUUCACAGCACUGGCAUUGGUUAAUUUUAAAUACAGUACUCAAGCAUUGUUAGAUUAAUAAAAUAACAAAAGAAAAAAAAAAAAAUGGAAACAUAAUACCCCCGAAAAAAUAAGCUACUGUACGCAAGUUGGUUUCUCCCCUAAAAUGUUUCUUUUGUAUUUCAAUGGCAUGAUGUACAUAUUUGUUUUAACCAUACCAACAGACAUUGAUCCAAAGGGAAAGUUGUCUAUGCAGUGUAUCACUUUGGAUUUCCCUUGAUUUUUCAUACAGUACCAUGCAUUUAUCUCAUUAGUUUGUGUUUUGUGUAUUUCUUUUUUUUUUUUUUUU